UGAUGGCUGUGAUGAUUCCUACACUUUGUACCUACCUGAGAAGGAAACAUGAGGGUGUUCAGUCACUACCUCAUCUGAUGCCAUCU